AGGCUUUUUGUAUUGACCCACACGUAAAUAGAGUCUAAAAGUUGCAAAACUAGCUAACAACUCUUAAAGAAUGCAGUAGGUAUUCAAUUUUGAAAUGUCUAACUAUAUGUAUAGAAAUUAUAGCAUGUCAAUCAUAUAAUUAAUUAUACAGUAUUACCUACAAAUAUGCUUUUCUUUUGGUUAUUGGUAUAUUGUUUAACGUAAAACAAAAUAACAGAGUAUACCCGUAAAACAUAACAACACCGUGCAUCUUUCAAGCCUAAAAAACAUUCAUUAACAUUUUUUACCAAAAAAAUCGGAGAAGUGUAAAGAAAUAUUCGCAAAUUUUUGCAAAGGAUGGAAAGCAAAGGAAAAAGUAAUCACAAUGUCAUCUAACCAUGUCAAUAGCAUUAUACCCAUUUGUUUUGUGACAUUGAAAAUUAAGUCAAAAAUAAAUAUUUAAGGUUGAACCAGCACCCACCCGGGCAUAUUUGUUCCUUAAAAGUGCCAUAUUAGAACAACAAUCAAAGAAAAUAUUAUUCUUUUGAGUCGUGUACAUCCGUCUUUAAUGUGCCUAUACAAGGAGAGUAUGUUAAAUAUCUGUAAGGACAUUCAGUCCUAAUAUCUACUACUCAAAACCAAGUCAAAUAUGGAACCGCAUCCGGUAAUGAUACGCUAUAGAGAAGUAACAUCGGUUAAUCAAGUAUCAAUUGUGAAUCGUCUCCAAAAUGUAGGUUAUGGAUCUUUGGCUAUACCGGAAAUUUACGUUGCCACUAAUUUUAAAUCGACUUUAUGGAAUAGAUAUUUUAUACACUUUUUGUGUGAAGCGGUCUCGAAAAUAUUUCGACACUAUUUAUCUUAUAACCAUAUAAGAGUAGGUAAGGAUCGUUAAUGUGUUUUAAAAUCUGAGUUGAGUACACGUAAAUAGCAUACACCUCAGAUCAGACAACCAAUAAAUGUGAAAUUUUAAA